rnacentral:rRNA from 1 species
CGCCUGUUUAUCAAAAACAUGGCUUUUUGAUAAUAAUUUAAAGUCUGGCCUGCCCNCUGAGUAUUUAAAGGGCCGCGGUAAUUUGACCGUGCUAAGGUAGCAUAAUCAUUAGUUUUUUAAUUGAAAGCUGGUAUGAAUGGUUGGAUGAGAAAAUAACUGUCUCUAUUUAAUUUUAUUUGAAUUUUAUUUUUAAGUAAAAAAGCUUAAAUUAAAUUAAAAGACGAGAAGACCCUAUAGAGUUUUAUAAAAUUUUGAAUUUAAAUUUUUAGAAUUAUAAUUUUGUAUUUAAAAUUUUAUUUGAUUGGGGCGAUUGAAAAAUUUAAUUAACUUUUUUUAUAUAAUAACAUUAAUUUAUGAAUUUUUGAUCCAUUAAUAUAUGAUUAUAAGAUUAAAUUNCCUUAGGGAUAACAGCGUAAUUUUUUUUGAGAGUUCUAAUCGAAAAAAAAGUUUGCGACCUCGAUGUUGGAUUAAAAUUAAUUUUUGGUGUAGAGGCUAAAAAAUUAGGUCUGUU